rnacentral:rRNA from 1 species
UACAGAGGGUGCGAGCGUUGUCCGGAAUUAUUGGGCGUAAAGAGCUCGUAGGCGGUCUGUUGCGUCCGCUGUGAAAACUCGGGGCUUAACCCCGAGCCUGCAGUGGAUACGGGCAGACUAGAGGUAGGUAGGGGAGAAUGGAAUUCCCGGUGUAGCGGUGAAAUGCGCAGAUAUCGGGAGGAACACCGGUGGCGAAGGCGGUUCUCUGGGCCUUACCUGACGCUGAGGAGCGAAAGCGUGGGGAGCGAACAGG